CCCGUAGACGCAGCGACGCCGCGUGCGGGAAGAAGGCCUUCGGGUUGUAAACCGCUUUCAGGAGGGACGAAGCUACUCGGGUGAAUAGCCCAGAGGGUGACGGUACCUCCAGAAGAAGCCCCGGCUAACUACGUGCCAGCAGCCGCGGUAAUACGUAGGGGGCAAGCGUUGUCCGGAUUUAUUGGGCGUAAAGAGCGUGUAGGCGGCCAGGCAGGUCCGUUGUGAAAACUCGAGGCUCAACCUCGAGACGUCGAUGGAAACCGUCUGGCUAGAGUCCGGAAGAGGAGAGUGGAAUUCCUGGUGUAGCGGUGAAAUGCGCAGAUAUCAGGAAGAACACCUAUGGCGAAGGCAGCUCUCUGGGACGGUACUGACGCUGAGACGCGAAAGCGUGGGGAGCGAACAGGAUUAGAUACCCUGGUAGUCCACGCCGUAAACGAUGGGCGCUAGGUGUGGGGGGUGUCGACUCCCUCCGUGCCGAAGCUAACGCAUUAAGCGCCCCGCCUGGGGAGUACGGCCGCAAGGCUA
rnacentral:rRNA from 1 species